AGUCCUUUGCGGGGUAUGUUAAUUACGAGUGUGGCCUAUAUAAUACUGUAUGGAAUGCGAUCGGGUUGCGAUAUAAGGGGACAUCUUUCAAGCUACGAGCAUCUACAGAAUCUGAUUUGCUGCAUAAACAAAGAUGAAGUCCACAACUUUCGCUAUUCUAUUCAGCAUAGCUAUCUCAUUAGCUCAAAGUGAUAAUGCGGAAGUGGAAAACUGCCUAACACAAUGCUUCGAAACUGCUGAAGAUUGCAUCUUCAAUCAGAUCGCAUGCGUUAGUCGUCGAUCCUGUCUUAGUUGUGUCCGUAGCGUUACUCGUCCGUGCAUGGCAUUAUGCCGAAGUAAAGGAAAGAAAAGCCUUCGAUCAAUAAUUGGAAUCUAAAAACGAAUGACAAUCAAAAAGACUUACUCGAACUAUGUAUCAAUGAGGACAUUUCCAUGUUCGAUUUGUUAUUGUUAGUGUCUACUAUUACAAAUAAAAUGUAAAAUUCAAGAC